rnacentral:ncRNA from 1 species
UUAUAGAGCUUCAUGGCAUUGAAAAGGUUGAUCUCGUUUGCUCCGUGUCAGGGAAUUGUCAUGUUUUCGUCACUGGCCACAUGGUCCCCACCAGCACCACAGGGGCAGCCCCAGCACACUGGGCCCGGUGCUUUUUGGAGUCAGGUUGCUUAGGAAUGCAGCCCAAAGCAGGUGGCAAACACCAUCUAAGGCUAAAUACCAGCACGAGAACGAUAGCCAACAAGUACCGUAAGGGAAAGUUGAAAAGAAGUUUGAAGAGAGAGUUCAAGCCUCGUGAUCGAGCCCGCAGCCCGUGGACGG